UACGUAGGGACGAGCGUUGUCCGGAAUUACUGGGCGUAAAGGGCGCGCAGGCGGUUUGUCAAGUCAGCUGUUAAAAAUGGGGGCUUAACCCUCAUAUGCUGUUGAAACUGGCAGACUGGAGUGCUGUAGAGGCAAGUGGAAUUCCCAGUGUAGCGGUGAAAUGCGUAGAUAUUGGGAAGAACACCGGUGGCGAAGGCGACUUGCUGGGCAGCAACUGACGCUGAGGCGCGAAAGCCAGGGGAGCAAACGGGAUUAGAUACCCGCGUAGU
rnacentral:rRNA from 1 species